GUUUGCCCUAACCGCUUUCUCAUAUCAUGACCAUCGAUCAUGACUACACCAUCAGCGGUCUAAUGUGCAAUUAGUGGCCAUGUCCUCUCCACGUUGAAAGACUAAAAGUGUUUAUAGAAGGUAAAGGCCUAUGGUACAGGGUGGAGGGAGAUCAUGAAAGGAAAACAUCUGAAUGGAAUAUGGGGAACAGAAUUCCAAGGAGAGGACAUGACUGAAUGACCUCUGCGUCACUGUCCCUGCAGCUAUGGCCCCGUUGUGAAGGUAGAUAGAGGAAUGAGCGUGGCCCUUCACUCCAGCAUGAGCACUGCCUCCUGCCUGCUGGGCACAGCCAUAUGAAAGGAUCUUGCCUUUGUAAUCCGCCCGGGAUUACACCUCCCAACAAUGCACAGCUGAAAGAGCGACAAAGACCCAGUAUCAAACACAGGCCUGGGCUGAUGAGAGGAACCUGCUAUGAUCUCCUACCACCAACACUGCCAUCAGCGCCUCUCAUCUCCCCAAGAGAGCUCUUUUAGCAUUCGCCUACUCCUUUCUUCUGUCCCCUUAUCUGGGAACACAGGCUUUUUUAUCUCUGCAUUCCUUUUCAUUUGCGUUUCACUUGGGGGAGGGGCAGAUCUCUGUCAUCUGAGUGUCCCCCCUUCAACCGCCCCGACCUGACAGAAAUCACACUCCAACAUGGUCACACACCCCUCGAGAGACCAGGGGUCAAUAUGAAGGCAAUGGAACAGUUUCAGAGUUUGUCGUCUUUCCCAUUAUGAGAUUCAAUUACUAUCAAUCGGCUUAUAAUGCGUUUCCUGUUAAAUGGUAUGAAAACAUUUCGGCCUGUGCCAAGCCUUGGGCUCAUUUCUGUCGCUGGUUUGACCCUUUGAACUCAGUUCUGCUCCUCGCUGCUAAUUAACCUCCCCACACAUGCAUAUGACACUUCAGGCACUUACAGGCAGCACUUUAGAAGAUGUUUGUGUGGGUGUUUAAGGACCCGUGUGGUAAAUAUUUCCAAAGUAGAUGGGGCGGGGGGGAGUAUGAUAGUUUGUCAAAAGGAUUUCCAAGGUAUCAGUGAAUGUCAAAACCCACAGAUCAAUCAUGGUGAACUUAGAGGAAUGGUUUUCACUACAUCUAUUUAGUAGAAUAAAUUCAGUUCUCUCAUACGCGAAUGGCUAAAUUGUAUAGGAAAUUUAAAAACAGCAAGUUAUAAAAUGAAAAUAUUUCAGAUAACUUCAUGCUCGUAUGCUUAAAGGGAUAGUUCACCCAAAAGUGUCAUCCUCCUGUUGUUCUAAAUCUGUAUGCAUUUUUUUAUUGUAAUUCAAGAAGAUAUUUUGAAAAAAUAAAUAAAUAAAUGCAGGGUUGUUUUUUCCAAACAUUAAAAAUCCGAUGCUGUUCUGGACCCAAUUUACUUUUAUUGUAUGGUCAAAAACAGUUAAAACUUUUCUUUUUUUUCAAGUUUGGAACAACAUGAUUAUGAGUAAAUAUUAACAGAAUUUUCAUUUUUUACAUAAACUAUCCCUUUUAAACAUCAUGAAGCCACAAAUAAUUGUUUUUCAAAUUGUUUAACCAUUUUAGCAUGUUUUAUGUAAAUGCUUGUUAAUAUAAAGGUUUCUAUGAUACUGAUUUGUAGAAAGAAAAAAUAUUAAUUAAAAAAAUAAUAUCAUGGUAAUUUUAUUAUGAAAUCUGAUACUUCUUUGGUUUUGAUGCUUCAGUGUGUCAUGCUGUAACUCAUAUCCUGCUGGCUGGAAUAUAAA